GCAAGUCGAGCGGUAGCACAGAGAGCUUGCUCUCGGGUGACGAGCGGCGGACGGGUGAGUAAUGUCUGGGAAACUGCCUGAUGGAGGGGGAUAACUACUGGAAACGGUAGCUAAUACCGCAUAAUGUCGCAAGACCAAAGAGGGGGACCUUCGGGCCUCUUGCCAUCAGAUGUGCCCAGAUGGGAUUAGCUAGUAGGUGGGGUAACGGCUCACCUAGGCGACGAUCCCUAGCUGGUCUGAGAGGAUGACCAGCCACACUGGAACUGAGACACGGUCCAGACUCCUACGGGAGGCAGCAGUGGGGAAUAUUGCACAAUGGGCGCAAGCCUGAUGCAGCCAUGCCGCGUGUAUGAAGAAGGCCUUCGGGUUGUAAAGUACUUUCAGCGGGGAGGAAGGUGUUGAGGUUAAUAACCUCAGCAAUUGACGUUACCCGCAGAAGAAGCACCGGCUAACUCCGUGCCAGCAGCCGCGGUAAUACGGAGGGUGCAAGCGUUAAUCGGAAUUACUGGGCGUAAAGCGCACGCAGGCGGUCUGUCAAGUCGGAUGUGAAAUCCCCGGGCUCAACCUGGGAACUGCAUUCGAAACUGGCAGGCUAGAGUCUUGUAGAGGGGGGUAGAAUUCCAGGUGUAGCGGUGAAAUGCGUAGAGAUCUGGAGGAAUACCGGUGGCGAAGGCGGCCCCCUGGACAAAGACUGACGCUCAGGUGCGAAAGCGUGGGGAGCAAACAGGAUUAGAUACCCUGGUAGUCCACGCCGUAAACGAUGUCGACUUGGAGGUUGUGCCCUUGAGGAGUGGCUUCCGGAGCUAACGCGUUAAGUCGACCGCCUGGGGAGUACGGCCGCAAGGUUAAAACUCAAAUGAAUUGACGGGGGCCCGCACAAGCGGUGGAGCAUGUGGUUUAAUUCGAUGCAACGCGAAGAACCUUACCUACUCUUGACAUCCAGAGAACUUUCCAGAGAUGGAUUGGUGCCUUCGGGAACUCUGAGACAGGUGCUGCAUGGCUGUCGUCAGCUCGUGUUGUGAAAUGUUGGGUUAAGUCCCGCAACGAGCGCAACCCUUAUCCUUUGUUGCCAGCGGUCCGGCCGGGAACUCAAAGGAGACUGCCAGUGAUAAACUGGAGGAAGGUGGGGAUGACGUCAAGUCAUCAUGGCCCUUACGAGUAGGGCUACACACGUGCUACAAUGGCGCAUACAAAGAGAAGCGACCUCGCGAGAGCAAGCGGACCUCAUAAAGUGCGUCGUAGUCCGGAUUGGAGUCUGCAACUCGACUCCAUGAAGUCGGAAUCGCUAGUAAUCGUAGAUCAGAAUGCUACGGUGAAUACGUUCCCGGGCCUUGUACACACCGCCCGUCACACCAUGGGAGUGGGUUGCAAAAGAAGUAGGUAGCUUAACCUUCGGGAGGGCGC
rnacentral:rRNA from 1 species